AGAGCAAGUCCAAACCCACUCCUAAGAAGCCGGUGCUGCUGAGCUGCCUACCCCUGCUCCUACAGCAAGUUGCCACGCUGGCUCCCACCGGCCUCUUUCCAGAUCAUGAAGGUAUUUUUCCUUCAUCAAAUUGAGAGGAAGUCCGUAGUAAAGCUGCCCGUUGACCAGGUAGUGCCGAGAGAAUCGGUGCCCUGGCAGGAGGGACUGGCUUAUGCCACCCUGUGCAGGAUCGUCUUCUCAGCUUACAGAGCCUAGUGUGAUUCAACAACCCUCCAUCUCUGCCCCCAACAUGCCCAACUGAUCUGGUGGAGGGAACUGAAGAUGAAGGCCUCUCAGGCACCAUGGAUGGGAUGGGUGUGUGUGAAGGGGGCAGGGUCCCCAGGAGCUGCCCCAGGUCUGGCUGGACAGUUGCACGGGAAGUCCUGUUUGUGAACUCAACGUUUCCACGGCUUUUCCAUUAAACUUUACCCCAAAUC
ensembl:lncRNA TBX2-AS1 TBX2 antisense RNA 1